rnacentral:rRNA from 1 species
AACGGCCGCGGUAUCCUAACCGUGCGAAGGUAGCGUAAUCACUUGUUCUUUAAAUGAGGACUAGUAUGAAUGGCACCACGAGGGUUAAACUGUCUCCUUUUUUUAAUCAGUGAAACUAAUCUCCCCGUGAAGAAGCGGGGAUUCUUUUAUAAGACGAGAAGACCCUAUGGAGCUUUAAACAAGUUAACACCUGCCACUAAUCUUUACUUUCCUGAACCACCACAUUAAGUAUAGCACCUCUGAUUAACAGUUUUCGAUUGGGGUGAUCAUGGAGCAAAAAUCAACCUCCACGACGAAAAGGAACACCUCCUUGAGCCAAAAGCUACAACUUGAAGCACUAAAAAACUAACGCACUUUGACCCAAUUCUUUGAGCAACGAACCAAGUUACCCUAGGGAUAACAGCGCAAUCCACUUUAAGAGCUCCUAUCGACAAGUGGGUUUACGACCUCGAUGUUGGAUCAGGGUAUCCCAGUGGUG